UGUUCUCUGUUUAGUGAGUUCGUCAGAUUAGAGGCAGUAGGGAUGACCAGGGAUGUUCUCUGUUUAGUGAGUCCUCCAGAUCAGAGGCAGCAGGGAUGACCAGGGAUGUUCUCUGUUUAGUGAGUCCUCCAGAUCAGAGGCAGUAGGGAUGACCAGGGAUGUUCUCUGUUUAGUGAGUCCUCCAGAUCAGAGGCAGCAGGGAUGACCAGGGAUGUUCUCUGUUUAGUGAGUCCUCCAGAUCAGAGGCAGUAGGGAUGACCAGGGAUGUUCUCUGUUUAGUGAGUCCUCCAGAUCAGAGGCAGCAGGGAUGACCAGGGAUGUUCUCUGUUUAGUGAGUCGGCCAGAUCAGAGGCAGUAGGGAUGACCAGGGAUGUUCUCUGUUUAGUGAGUCCUCCAGAUCAGAGGCAGCAGGGAUGACCAGGGAUGUUCUCUGUUUAGUGAGUCCUCCAGAUCAGAGGCAGUAGGGAUGACCAGGGAUGUUCUCUGUUUAGUGAGUCCUCCAGAUCAGAGGCAGUAGGGAUGACCAGGGAUGUUCUCUGUUUAUUGAGUCCUCCAGAUCAGAGGCAGUAGGGAUGACCAGGGAUGUUCUCUGUUUAGUGAGUCCUCCAGAUCAGAGGCAGUAGGGAUGACCAGGGAUGUUCUCUGUUUAGUGAGUCCUCCAGAUCAGAGGCAGUAGGGAUGACCAGGGAUGUUCUCUGUUUAGUGAGUUCGUCAGAUUAGAGGCAGUAGGGACGACCAGGGAUGUUCUCUGUUUAGUGAGUCCUCCAGAUCAGAGGUAGUAGUGAUGACCAGGGAUGUUCUCUGUUUAGUGAGUCCUCCAGAUCAGAGGCAGUAGGGAUGACCAGGAAUGUUCUCUGUUUAGUGAGUCCUCCAGAUCAG
ensembl:lncRNA